rnacentral:tRNA from 2 species
GGCCCGAUGGUGUAGAGGCAUGAUUCUCGCUUAGGGUGCGAGAGGUCCCGGGUUCAAUUCCCGGUCGGGCCC